UACCAGCGGAUAUCAAUGACAAAAAAGUCCUAUUAAUCCCGAUGCAUUAUGCCGAAUAUUAACGAAUUUAGCAUAUUUCGUUAAUCGGUUUAUGCAACGAAUGAGAAUUAUGUCAUCGAUAUAGAAUAAUAGAGAUUGAGCGAGUGCAUACGUAAUAGAAGAUUGAACGCUGAAAAAGCCUCCCUGAACGAUUGAGUAGGAAGAAAAAAAAUGAUAGAAUUGAUGAUAAAACGGAAAAAAAUGGUGAGAAAGAUUGGCCGGUGAAAAAAAUUUUUUAGGUUAAAGCUUUAAUUAGUUCAAUAAAUGCUUCGAGGGAAAGUUAAAAAUCGCAAAAAAAUGAGAUUGUAGUCAAAGUUACGCGGGUACACAACGCACACAGGGAGAAAACGUGGGAGCGCACGCGCGCGCGUCUCUUUUGGCGGUCACCUCUGCGAUGCAUUGACAUUAGUUACGUAAAAUACGUUUAUUUUCGUGUUGAAUAAACGAGAAAUGAUAAGCAUAACGGGGAGUGAAGGAUUCGUUCAAAGUUUCGUUACAGUCAGUGGAAAUUUUGCCACUGGCUGUGACUAUGAACCAUGAGGGAAAUGGAUGGACGAAAGGGAUAACCGACACGCACUGUCGUGUCGAACCGCGGCCGAAGGACGGUCGGACGUGAACUGAGCGUGAACCAGACUCGGGCAAAUGCUCGUGUCUGCUACAUACCUCGUGCGAGAUACCGCCUCACUUGUAUAGAUAUAUAUCCCAUAGAAGGUGAUAUAAAAUAUAUGUUCGAUUUUCUCGUUCCGAAUUCAAUCAUUUUUUUUUCAAACUGUGUACGCACCGAUAAAAUUAUCCAAUAUUUUUAGGAA